CGAUUGUGUCCGAGUCUGUGUCGCUGUGAUGGGUCCACGCUGCGUUUCACAGUGCGGAGCUGUUUACCUGGCAGCACCUCUGAGCGAACGGGGCCCAGGGCCCGGCCAGUGCCCAGCGCUGCUGGGAGCCUCUGCCAGCACCACGGACGGCACCCAGGAAGCCCGAGUCCCCCUGGACGGGGCCUUCUGGAUCCCAAGGCCCCCAGCGGGUUCGCCCAAGGGCUGCUUCGCCUGUGUGUCCAAGUCUCCCGCCCUGCAGGCUCCGGCGGCCCCUGCCCCUGCGCCCUCAUCCUCGCCCCCCAUGGCGCCCACUCUGUUCCCCAUGGAGUCCAAAAGCAGUAAGACGGACAGUGUGCGGGCUGCCGGCGCACCCCAGGCCUGCAAGCACCUCGCAGAGAAGAAGACAAUGACGAACCCCACGACGGUGGUGGAGGUCUACCCGGACACCACGGAGGUCAACGACUACUACCUGUGGUCCAUCUUCAACUUCGUCUACCUCAACUUCUGCUGCCUGGGAUUCAUCGCCCUGGCCUACUCCCUGAAAGUUCGGGACAAGAAGCUCCUGAACGACCUGAACGGAGCGGUGGAGGACGCCAAGACGGCCCGGCUCUUCAACAUCACCAGCUCCGCCCUGGCGGCCUCUUGCAUCAUCCUGGUCUUUGUCUUCCUGCGGUACCCGCUCACCGACUACUGAGGCCGCUGCCCCGUGGCCGCGGGGACAAAGCGCCAAGACGUGUUUGCUUCGGCGAUUGAGUUUCACAGGGGAGCAAAUCCAUGAAGAGCCCAUAUGUCUCGCUGAAAGUCCGGCUUUAUUGAGAUUUGAAGACUAUGUUUUUUGGAGCAGUUCCUGGCCCAGGGCACAGUUGGGUGGGAAGUACAGAGGGUUCCUGGAUGCCCUCCCCACAACCCGCGGCCCCACCUGCGACAGCCCUGCCCGUGGGCACAUGUGUUACCGCCGGGAACCUGCACUGAUUCGUCCUCACCCAGAGCCCGCAUUUGCUCUCGGUUCACCCUUCCUCUUCUACUUACUUUUUGUCUGAAAAGACGUGCAGGGAGUAACUUUCUCCUACACACUGGCCCUCAAGGCCUGGGCUUGAUGUCCAGGUUGCCUGCCUUUAACAUGGGCUUUCAGUUGUUCAAUGGCAUCUAUUACCCACUGGCAGGCCCAGCAGCCUGCUCCCGACAGAAGGACGCCAACUCACACACUCCAUAGCUGGGGGCACCCAGAUCCCAGCGCGGGACCCGGGGCCUGUGCGGCUCGCCUAGGUUCAAUGCCAGAGCCGUCCAAGGGCAGGCAUCUCCCCUGGGGCUGGUUAGCUGAGACCUGCAGAACUCCGGCCUCUGUUGCCCUAAGAGAGCAUCUCGCUGAAGGGGCUCAGGAGGCCCUGGAGCCACAGCUGCACUGGGCGAGUCUAUGGGUGGCGUCCCUGCAGCCAUUAGCUGACGUCCUCCAGAGCGACAGGACAGGACGUGUAGAAAGACGCUGCUGUAAGGCAUCGGCUCGUGCACUGUGGAGGCCUGGCGAGCUCAAGUCCGACGGGGGAGGCCUGCACUGGCGCCUCAGAGCAGGGCAGCCGUUUGAGUCUGAGGGUCUCUGGGGCCAAACCAGAAGCCAAAGGCCAUCUGGGCAGAGCACCUGCCCUCGGGGGAGCCGGCCUUCUCCUCCUGUUCUACUCAGGCCUUCGCUGGCUGGGGAACAGCCAUCACCGUGCCGCAAGUCCCCCAACUUACAUGCUCAUCUCAUCCGAAAUGCCCUCACAGAAGUAUCCAGAACAAUGUCAGACCAGCAGUCUGGGUGCCACAGCCCCACCAAGUUGACGCGUACAUUGACCACCGCAGUCAGGAACUUGGUGAGCCACGUCCUUGCUCCACAGUGGACUGAACAUGCUUUCCCUGAACACUGACUUUAAAUCCAUGGCCCCCACACAGACUCAUUCAGCUGUUAGACGUGGUGUGCAGAACUUCCCAGUGGGGCCAAGACUUGGUCCCCAAGGCUCCCUGAGACAUCUGGGGCCUACCCAAGGACACCCCCUCUCCUGAGGCCUAUCACCCCACAUGACUCUUCACUGUGAAGUGGGAUGUAAGUGCUUUUUUGGUAAACUCUUCCACACCCUCCCUGGUGAUAAAGCCCAUCUGCCCUCUCCUUCCCUUUUUGCCCUGGCUGCUAGGGAGUUCACAGCAAAAGGUGGGCUCAGGCGGUGGGUUCCCUGGAUCUGGCCCCCAUGUUGUCGUGUCUCUUCCACCUUCUUUCCUUUUGGGUGCCUCCGCUCCAGCUGAACUCUGCUGAGAGAACAGUGUGCGCGAGCCAGCUGGCACCCAGGCGGGCAGGGCAGAUGUCCUUGGGGACAAGGUUAUGUCGGUUUAUGUCUGGACUUCCUGGCUCUGUGCCUUGGGGAAAAUUCCUUUACCUCCGGUCCCCUGUGUUUUAAUUAUACAUUUGGGCUAGAGUAUGCACAACAUUUAACUCAGGACCUGGCACAUGAUUCUCAAUAAAA